UACAGAGGUCCCAAGCGUUGUUCGGAUUCACUGGGCGUAAAGGGUGCGUAGGUGGUGGGGUAAGUCGGAUGUGAAAUCUCCGAGCUCAACUCGGAAAUGGCAUUGGAAACUACCCUGCUAGAGGGUCGGAGGGGGGACUGGAAUACUUGGUGUAGCAGUGAAAUGCGUAGAUAUCAAGUGGAGCACCAGUGGCGAAGGCGAGUCCCUGGACGACUCCUGACACUGAGGCACGAAAGCUAGGGGAGCAAACAGG
rnacentral:rRNA from 1 species